AAGUCGUAACAAGGUUUCCGUAGGUGAACCUGCGGAAGGAUCAUUAACACGUAUCCAACGUUAAACCCCCCGUGAACUUUUAUUGCGAACCACGCCUUUGUUAGAAAGUAGCAAUCCCUGGUAAAUCAUCGCCGAACAGUUUUGAUUCAGGGAUCUCUGCGAAGAGAGCGGUUGUAGCGCGAGGUAAGUGGCCUGGCAUUCCUCUGCUUGUUAGUGUCUGACAGUGUCACUAGCUCUGUACGAAUGGCGCAGUCACGAUCGCUAGAGGCCGACACGGCCGGCGACCGGGUCACCGAACAGUUGUUCGAGUUUGGUGGCCGCACAAUUAAGCGCAGGCCCGUUUUCAUGCAAAGGUGAUAGGGGGGUCUAUGCCCCAAUGGAUAUCUUGGUUCUC
rnacentral:misc_RNA from 1 species